rnacentral:rRNA from 1 species
UGGGGAAUAUUGCACAAUGGGCGCAAGCCUGAUGCAGCCAUGCCGCGUGUGUGAAGAAGGCCUUCGGGUUGUAAAGCACUUUCAGCGAGGAGGAAGGUGGUGAGCUUAAUACGCUCAUCAAUUGACGUUACUCGCAGAAGAAGCACCGGCUAACUCCGUGCCAGCAGCCGCGGUAAUACGGAGGGUGCAAGCGUUAAUCGGAAUUACUGGGCGUAAAGCGCACGCAGGCGGUUUGUUAAGUCAGAUGUGAAAUCCCCGGGCUCAACCUGGGAACUGCAUUUGAAACUGGCAAGCUAGAGUCUCGUAGAGGGGGGUAGAAUUCCAGGUGUAGCGGUGAAAUGCGUAGAGAUCUGGAGGAAUACCGGUGGCGAAGGCGGCCCCCUGGACGAAGACUGACGCUCAGGUGCGAAAGCGUGGGGCAGCAAACAGGAUUAGAUACCCUGGUAGUCCACGCUGUAAACGAUGUCGAUUUUGGAGGUUGUGCCCUUGAGGCGUGGCUUCCGGGGCUAACGCGUUAAAGUCGACCGCCUGGGGAGUACGGCCGCAAGGUUAAAACUUAAAGGAAUUGACGGGGUCAUAGCUGUUUCCU